CAGCUUUUUCCAUUCCUUUUCAAACCUAAACAAUCCCAAAAAUCAAACACACAAAAUCAAUAUAACUGUUAAAGGUCGUACAUAAAGCACAAGUCUCCCGCAUCAGCAUGAGACAUGAAGUUCAUGAUGCACGCAGCUCUAGCCUUAACCAAUACACUUAUAAUUACAGAAGUAGAAGUUAAUUUAGGAAAAAGAUGACGGUUAGUUCACGGACCUUGAAGGCGAGCAACAGAGUUCCAUCGUCCUUCGCCAUGCAACUUAACAUACUCAGU
rnacentral:lncRNA from 1 species